AGCCAUUCAGGAUGGUGGUUGAAGGACCUGAUGACUUGUGUAUACAGAAAUCUGCACCUCUCUACACCAAAGCAGUAAGGAGAUAACAUGAGGAAGAGGGAUCGCUCAGACAGAGAUGUUGCUCCUCAGCCUUGGAAGAAGCCAAUUUCAAAGCAAACGGGUGGUGAAGGCUUAUUCGCCUUAUUCUUUCCACUUGGAGGCAUCUUUUUCCAGCUUGAUGUACUGAAUAUCCCACAGAAAUCAAUGCUCUAUGGAGGACAGAACACUAAAUGCACAAUAACUGUAACCUGGAAUUACCGUCUAUGAUUACUUUUCAUUCAUUUUGCUUCCUGUUAAAAGCUGGAAAAUAUCUAAAAUGUCAUUGAACAGGAAGCUCCUCUGUGCAGCUUUAUUGCGUUGAUCUGUUUGUGAUUAUGAAGCUUAUGA